rnacentral:rRNA from 1 species
UACGAAGGGGGCUAGCGUUGUUCGGAAUUACUGGGCAUAAAGCGCGCGCAGGCGGUCUUCCAAGUCAGUGGUGAAAGCCCGGAGCUCAACUCCGGAACUGCCAUUGAAACUGUUGGACUUGAGUACGAGAGAGGUGAGUGGAAUUCCCAGUGUAGAGGUGAAAUUCGUAGAUAUUGGGAAGAACACCGGUGGCGAAGGCGGCUCACUGGCUCGUAACUGACGCUCAUGCACGACAGCGUGGGGAUCAAACAGG